UAGGGAAUCUUCCGCAAUGGGCGAAAGCCUGACGGAGCAACGCCGCGUGAGUGAAGAAGGAUUUCGGUUCGUAAAGCUCUGUUGUUAGGGAAGAAUGAUUGUGUAGUAACUAUACACAGUAGAGACGGUACCUAACCAGAAAGCCACGGCUAACUACGUGCCAGCAGCCGCGGUAAUACGUAGGUGGCAAGCGUUGUCCGGAAUUAUUGGGCGUAAAGCGCGCGCAGGUGGUUUAAUAAGUCUGAUGUGAAAGCCCACGGCUCAACCGUGGAGGGUCAUUGGAAACUGUUAAACUUGAGUGCAGGAGAGAAAAGUGGAAUUCCUAGUGUAGCGGUGAAAUGCGUAGAGAUUAGGAGGAACACCAGUGGCGAAGGCGGCUUUUUGGCCUGUAACUGACACUGAGGCGCGAAAGCGUGGGGAGCAAACAGGAUUAGAUACUCUGGUAGUCCACGCCGUAAACGAUGAGUGCUAAGUGUUGGUCUCAUAAGAGAUCAGUGCUGCAGCUAACGCAUUAAGCACUCCGCCUGGGGAGUACGACCGCAAGGUU
rnacentral:rRNA from 1 species